AACGCGAAGAACCUUACCAAAUCUUGACAUCGAUAGAAUCUGCAGGAAACUGCGGAGUGCCCUUCGGGGAACUUGAAGACAGGUGGUGCAUGGUUGUCGUCAGCUCGUGUCGUGAGAUGUUGGGUUAAGUCCCGCAACGAGCGCAACCCCUACUGUAUGUUACUAACAGGUUAAGCUGAGGACUCAUAUGGGACUGCCGGUGUAAGCCGGAGGAAGGUGGGGAUGACGUCAAAUCAUCAUGCCCCUUAUGAUUUGGGCUACACACGUGCUACAAUGGGCAGUACAGAGGGAAGCUAAGCCGUGAGGUGGAGCGGAACCCAAAAAACUGUUCCCAGUUCGGAUUAUAGUCUGCAACUCGACUAUAUGAAGUUGGAAUCGCUAGUAAUCGCAGGUCAGCAUACUGCGGUGAAUACGUUCCCGGGCCUUGUACACACCG
rnacentral:rRNA from 1 species